ensembl:snRNA U6 U6 spliceosomal RNA
GUUCUCACUUCAGCAAUACAUACACUAAAAUUGGAAUGAUAUGGAGAAAAUUAGCACAGCCCCUACACAAGGAUGACACACAAAUUCAUGAAGUGUUCCAUAUUUUU